GAUGAACGCUGGCGGCGUGCCUAAUACAUGCAAGUCGAGCGAAUGGAUUAAGAGCUUGCUCUUAUGAAGUUAGCGGCGGACGGGUGAGUAACACGUGGGUAACCUGCCCAUAAGACUGGGAUAACUCCGGGAAACCGGGGCUAAUACCGGAUAACAUUUUGAACCGCAUGGUUCGAAAUUGAAAGGCGGCUUCGGCUGUCACUUAUGGAUGGACCCGCGUCGCAUUAGCUAGUUGGUGAGGUAACGGCUCACCAAGGCAACGAUGCGUAGCCGACCUGAGAGGGUGAUCGGCCACACUGGGACUGAGACACGGCCCAGACUCCUACGGGAGGCAGCAGUAGGGAAUCUUCCGCAAUGGACGAAAGUCUGACGGAGCAACGCCGCGUGAGUGAUGAAGGCUUUCGGGUCGUAAAACUCUGUUGUUAGGGAAGAACAAGUGCUAGUUGAAUAAGCUGACACCUUGACGGUACCUAACCAGAAAGCCACGGCUAACUACGUGCCAGCAGCCGCCGUAA
rnacentral:rRNA from 1 species